GGAAUUUAAUUUUGGGUUCUAAGUAAAACAUAGCUUUUAACCCAACCCUAGCCUGUGGAGCGACCAAAGGAAUUACACACAAAAUUGCUGCCCUAGAUCUCUAAUUGCAUUUUUCUUGCUUGCAUAUCUUUAUCGGAACCUCCGAUUUCGUUUCUCCGCGUGGAGAUGGCGGAGAAUUUUGAAUUCUUCACAGUCGACUCGAUCGAUUCUCUCUCCACUUCUGUGCGUUCUCACUCGAUGUUGAAGUUUUCGUAAUCCUUCGUAAUCCUCCGUAAUAAUCUAGAGUUCUAUUUCUUCCUUUUGGUUGGCGGAUGGAGCCUCGCGUUGGGAAUAAGUUUCGCCUUGGCCGGAAGAUCGGUAGCGGCUCGUUCGGGGAGAUCUAUCUUGGUACUAAUAUACAGACGAAUGAAGAGGUUGCAAUUAAACUUG